GACGUAGGGCGCGAGCGUUGUCCGGAUUUAUUGGGCGUAAAGAGCGUGUAGGCGGCCAGGUAGGUCGGUUGUGAAAACUAGAGGCUCAACCUCUAGACGUCGACCGAAACCAUCUGGCUAGAGUCCGGAAGAGGAGAGUGGAAUUCCUGGUGUAGCGGUGAAAUGCGUUGAUAUCCACAGGAACUCCGGUGGCGAAGGCGGCACGCUGGACCUUUUCUGACGCUGAGGCGCGAAAGCCAGGGGAGCAAACGGG
rnacentral:rRNA from 1 species